GAUGAACGCUAGCUACAGGCUUAACACAUGCAGUCGCGGGGCAUCAUGGAGGUUGCUUGCAAUUUCUGAUGGCGACCGGCGCACGGGUGAGUAACGCGUAUCCACCUUCCCAUUACUACGGCAUACCCCGUUGAAAGGCGGCCUAAUUCCGUAUGCAGUCCGAAGCAGUCAUCUAAUUUGGACGAAAGGUAUAUUCUAUCGGUAAUGGAUGGGGAUGCGUCCGAUUAGCCAGCCGGCGGGGUAACGGCCCACCGGGGCAUUGAUCGGUAGGGGUUCUGAGAGGAAGGUCCCCCACACUGGAACUGAGACACGGUCCAGACUCCUACGGGAGGCAGCAGUGAGGAAUAUUGGUCAAUGGGCGUAAGCCUGAACCAGCCAAGUAGCGUGCAGGAUGACGGCCCUAUGGGUUGUAAACUGCUUUUAUGCGGGGAUAAAGUUGGGGACGUGUCCCUUUUUGCAGGUACCGCAUGAAUAA
rnacentral:rRNA from 1 species